GAGUUUGAUCCUGGCUCAGAGCGAACGUUAGCGGCGGGCUUAACACAUGCAAGUCGAGCGAGAAAGUGGCUUCGGCCAUCAGUAAAGCGGCGGACGGGUGAGUAACACGUAGGUAAUCUUCCUUCGAGCGGGGGACAACGUUCCGAAAGGGACGCUAAUACCGCAUACGUUUCUCGGGACUCUGGUCCUGAGAAGGAAAGCUAGGUCGCAAGAUCCGGCACUCGAUGAGGAGCCUGCGUCGCAUCAGCUAGUUGGUGGGGUAAUGGCCUACCAAGGCGAAGACGCGUAGCUGGUCUGAGAGGAUGAUCAGCCACACUGAAACUGAGACACGGUUCAGACUCCUACGGGAGGCAGCAGUGGGGAAUAUUGGACAAUGGGCGCAAGCCUGAUCCAGCCACGCCGCGUGAGUGAUGAAGGCC
rnacentral:rRNA from 1 species